rnacentral:rRNA from 1 species
UUUGGUGAUGAUGGCGAAGGGGUAACACCUGUUCCCAUACCGAACACAGAAGUAAAGUCCUUCAGCGUCGAUGGUACUUAGCGGGCAGCUGCUUGGGAGAGUAGAACGUUGCCAGAU